GCACAAGCGGAGGAACAUGUGGUUUAAUUCGAUGAUACGCGAGGAACCUUACCUGGCUUAAAUGUAGAGUGCAUUUUUAGAGAUAGAAAUUCCCUUCGGGGCUUUCUGCAAGGUGCUGCAUGGUUGUCGUCAGCUCGUGCCGUGAGGUGUCGGGUUAAGUCCCAUAACGAGCGCAACCCUUAUCGUUAGUUGCCAGCUGGUAAAGCAGGGGACUCUAGCGAAACUGCCACCGUAAGGUGAGAGGAAGGUGGGAUGACGUCAAAUCAGCACGGCCCUUAUGUCCAGGGCUACACACGUGUUACAAUGGCCGGCACAGAGGGCAGCUACCUGGUGACAGGAUGCUAAUCUCGAAAACCGGUCUCAGUUCGGAUCGAAGUCUGCAACUCGACUUCGUGAAGCUGGAUUCGCUAGUAAUCGCGCAUCAGCUAUGGCGCGGUGAAUACGUUCCCGGGCCUU
rnacentral:rRNA from 1 species